UACGAAGGGGGCUAGCGUUGCUCGGAAUUACUGGGCGUAAAGGGCGCGUAGGCGGAUAGUUUAGUCAGAGGUGAAAGCCCAGGGCUCAACCUUGGAAUUGCCUUUGAUACUGAGGAUCUUGAGUUCGGGAGAGGUGAGUGGAACUGCGAGUGUAGAGGUGAAAUUCGUAGAUAUUCGCAAGAACACCAGUGGCGAAGGCGGCUCACUGGCCCGAUACUGACGCUGAGGCACGAAAGCGUGGGGAGCAAACAGG
rnacentral:rRNA from 1 species